rnacentral:misc_RNA from 1 species
CUUGCGAGUUGAAACUAUACUCCAACAGCCACCUCGAAGAACUUCUGCUGGAGUUUGAGAAGAAUGCUACCGCCAACGGCGCCAUCGUACAUUGGGCAAAAGAUGCCGAUGAAUACUGCGCCAUCGUCUACGAGAUACUGAAUGAGCAUAACGUCCACCAUUUCAUCAAGAGCAAAUCCAUGCUCGCCGAAGAGUGUGGCUUGAAUCCUUUCCUGAUGGAGCGGG